rnacentral:rRNA from 1 species
GGCUAAACCAUGCACCGAAGCUGCGGCAGCGAACGUAUCACCCAAGACAACUUUACGGAGUUGACGAUUGACGGAGCGAAGCGACGUCAAAGCGUUCAUUAAAGUCGAGUUGGCUUAGGGAUACGUUCGUUGGGUAGGGGAGCGUUCUGUAAGCCUGUGAAGGUGUGUCGUGAGGCAUGCUGGAGGUAUCAGAAGUGCGAAUGCUGACAUAAGUAACGAUAAAGCGGGUGAAAAGCCCGCUCGCCGGAAGACCAAGGGUUCCUGUCCAACGUUAAUCGGGGCAGGGUGAGUCGACCCCUAAGGCGAGGCCGAAAGGCGUAGUCGAUGGGAAACGGGUUAAUAUUCCCGUACUUGGUGUUACUGCGAAGGGGGGACGGAGAAGGCUAUGUUGGCCGGGCGACGGUUGUCCCGGUUUAAGCGUGUAGGUGUGUGUUCCAGGUAAAUCCGGUUCACUUUAACACUGAGGCGUGACGACGAGGCACUACGGUGCUGAAGCAACAAAUGCCCUGCUUCCAGGAAAAGCCUCUAAGCAUCAGGUAACACGAAAUCGUACCCCAAACCGACACAGGUGGUCAGGUAGAGAAUACCAAGGCGCUUGAGAGAACUCGGGUGAAGGAACUAGGCAAAAUGGUGCCGUAACUUCGGGAGAAGGCACGCUGACACGUAGGUGAAGUGAUUUACUCACGGAGCUGAAGUCAGUCGAAGAUACCAGCUGGCUGCAACUGUUUAUUAAAAACACAGCACUGUGCAAACACGAAAGUGGACGUAUACGGUGUGACGCCUGCCCGGUGCCGGAAGGUUAAUUGAUGGGGUCAGCGCAAGCGAAGCUCCUGAUCGAAGCCCCGGUAAACGGCGGCCGUAACUAUAACGGUCCUAAGGUAGCGAAAUUCCUUGUCGGGUAAGUUCCGACCUGCACGAAUGGCGUAAUGAUGGCCAGGCUGUCUCCACCCGAGACUCAGUGAAAUUGAACUCGCUGUGAAGAUGCAGUGUACCCGCGGCAAGACGGAAAGACCCCGUGAACCUUUACUAUAGCUUGACACUGAACAUUGAGCCUUGAUGUGUAGGAUAGGUGGGAGGCUUUGAAGUGUGGACGCCAGUCUGCAUGGAGCCGACCUUGAAAUACCACCCUUUAAUGUUU